rnacentral:rRNA from 1 species
GGCCGCGGGAAUUCGAUUCCGGCCUAACGCAUGCAAGUCGAGCGGUAGAGAGAAGCUUGCUUCUCUUGAGAACGGCGGACGGGUGAGUAAUGCCUAGGAAUCUGCCUGGUAGUGGGGGAUAACGUUCGGAAACGGACGCUAAUACCGCAUACGUCCUACGGGAGAAAGCAGGGGACCUUCGGGCCUUGCGCUAUCAGAUGAGCCUAGGUCGGAUUAGCUAGUUGGUGAGGUAAUGGCUCACCAAGGCUACGAUCCGUAACUGGUCUGAGAGGAUGAUCAGUCACACUGGAACUGAGACACGGUCCAGACUCCUACGGGAGGCAGCAGUGGGGAAUAUUGGACAAUGGGCGAAAGCCCGAUC